AAGUCGUAACAAGGUUUCCGUAGGUGAACCUGCGGAAGGAUCAUUAACACGUAUCCAACGUUAAACAACCCUGUGAACUUUCAGCCUGCUCUUGUAACCAUGAGGAACAGCAAUCCCGGGACCUCUGUCCAAAAAGGAGUUACAAUUGAGCGGUAGAGGCAGUGGCAUGGCUUCCCCAAGCAGUUAGUGAAUGACAGUGUCACUGAUUGUGUAAGGAUAACGCCUCACGGUUGCCAGAGGUCGAUCACCGACCGGCAGACAUGUCACAGGGUCACCACGCCCCUUAAUCACCCCAAUUUGAAAUUGCUCCUACCUGGUGGUAACGCACUGGGUCAAAAAAACCGAACAACUGUUAACAAUGGAUAUCUUGGUUCUC
rnacentral:misc_RNA from 1 species